AAAGCGCACGCAGGCGGUUUGUUAAGUCAGAUGUGAAAUCCCCGAGCUUAACUUGGGAACUGCAUUUGAAACUGGCAAGCUAGAGUCUUGUAGAGGGGGGUAGAAUUCCAGGUGUAGCGGUGAAAUGCGUAGAGAUCUGGAGGAAUACCGGUGGCGAAGGCGGCCCCCUGGACAAAGACUGACGCUCAGGUGCGAAAGCGUGGGGAGCAAACAGGAUUAGAUACCCUGGUAGUCCACGCUGUAAACGAUGUCGACUUGGAGGUUGUGCCCUUGAGGCGUGGCUUCCGGAGCUAACGCGUUAAGUCGACCGCCUGGGGAGUACGGCCGCAAGGUUAAAACUCAAAUGAAUUGACGGGGGCCCGCACAAGCGGUGGAGCAUGUGGUUUAAUUCGAUGCAACGCGAAGAACCUUACCUACUCUUGACAUCCACAGAACUUUCCAGAGAUGGAUUGGUGCCUUCGGGAACUGUGAGACAGGUGCUGCAUGGCUGUCGUCAGCUCGUGUUGUGAAAUGUUGGGUUAAGUCCCACAACGAGCGCAACCCUUAUCCUUUGUUGCCAGCGCGUAAUGGCGGGAACUCAAAGGAGACUGCCGGUGAUAAACCGGAGGAAGGUGGGGAUGACGUCAGGUCAUCAUGGCCCUUACGAGUAGGGCUACACACGUGCUACAAUGGCAUAUACAAAGAGAGGCGAACUCGCGAGAGCAAGCGGACCUCAUAAAGUAUGUCGUAGUCCGGAUCGGAGUCUGCAACUCGACUCCGUGAAGUCGGAAUCGCUAGUAAUCGUAGAUCAGAAUGCUACGGUGAAUACGUUCCCGGGCCUUGUACACACCGCCCGUCACACCAUGGGAGUGGGUUGCAAAAGAAGUAGGUAGCUUAACCUUCGGGAGGGCGCUUAC
rnacentral:rRNA from 1 species